rnacentral:rRNA from 1 species
AGUGAACGCUGGCGGUAGGCCUAACACAUGCAAGUCGAACGGCAGCACAGAGGAGCUUGCUCCUUGGGUGGCGAGUGGCGGACGGGUGAGGAAUACAUCGGAAUCUACUCUGUCGUGGGGGAUAACGUAGGGGAACUUACGCUAAUACCGCAUACGACCUACGGGUGAAAGCAGGGGACCUUCGGGCCUUGCGCGAUUGAAUGAGCCGAUGUCGGAUUAGCUAGUUGGCGGGGUAAAGGCCCACCAAGGCGACGAUCCGUAGCUGGUCUGAGAGGAUGAUCAGCGACACUGGACCUGGGACACGGUCCAGAGUCCUACGGGAGGCAGCAGUGGGGAAUAUUGGACAAUGGGCGCAAGCCUGAUCCAGCCAUACCGCGUGGGUGAAGAAGGCCUUCGGGUUGUAAAGCCCUUUUGUUGGGAAAGAAAUCCAGCUGGCUAAUACCCGGUUGGGAUGACGGUACCCAAAGAAUAAGCACCGGCUAACUUCGUGCCAGCAGCCGCCGUAA